rnacentral:rRNA from 1 species
UACGUAGGGUCCAAGCGUUGUCCGGAUUUAUUGGGCGUAAAGAGCUCGUAGGCGGCUCAGUAAGUCGGAUGUGAAACUCGGGGCUCAACCCCGAGACGCCAUCCGAUACUGCUGUGGCUUGAGUCUGGUGAGGGGAACACGGAAUUCCUGGUGUAGCGGUGAAAUGCGCAGAUAUCAGGAGGAACACCGAUGGCGAAGGCAGUGUUGCUGGCCAGUACUGACGCUGAGGAGCGAAGACGUGGGUAGCAACAGG